CAGACGUAGAACUUAUAUUAGUACAUGCCACAACUUUCCUAGGGAAAGUAAGCUCUUUAUCUGCAUACGCAGGAUGAACUAUCAAAGCUCUUUAUCUGCAUACGCAGGAUGAACUAUCAAAAUUUAUGGCGCGUCAAAACCUGCAUUCUUUGCCCCAUCCUUUGCUAAGACAUCUGCAACUCUGUUUUGUUCCCUGUAGGUAUGCCUAAUCUCCAGAGCCCCCAGUUGUUGCAUCAGUAACCUGCACUCAGAAAUGAUAAACUGUUGUUCUAUUAAUAUCUAGCAAUGUCGAAUUCACUGAACUGUUGACCACUAUGAUAAGGAGUUGUGGACCAGAAGUUAGAGUUGGAAACUAUUUAGUUCUUCUAAUGAACCUUAUCUGUCCAUCAAGAUUUUUGUUGUUGAUGAAUGUCACUUGCUGCCUUCAAAGACAUGGCUAGCAUUUCUGAAGUUCCUUGAAGAACCACCACCACAAUUUGUCUCCACAUUGUUAAUACUGAUCUUGACAAUGUGUCGUGUGCUGUAUAUCUCGGUGUCAGAAGUAUCUCUUCAAUAAAAUUAGGGAUGGAGAUAUUGUGCUCAGAUUAAAGAAGAUUUCUUUCGGUGACGAUUUGGAUGUGUAAUGAGAAGCAUUAGAUUUGAUUGCUCUUAAUGCAGAUGGAUCACACUGGUAUAUGGAAACUAUGUUUGACCAACUAAGUUUGUUAGGGCAACGAAUCACCACUUCUUUGGUAAGUGAUCUGGUUAGUUUGAUGUGUAUGUUUACACCUUUCCGUACUAAUUUCUGCCUUUUCUUUUUCAUGCUUGGCACGAAACCAAACAAUUUUUUUUUUUUAUAUCUAAUUGGUAUGGUUACAGAUGAGAAGCUACUGAAACUUUUGGAGCUAGCCAUGUUAUCUGAUACUGUAGAAACAGUAAAAAGAGCUCGGGAAUUGUUGGAUUUAGGCGUUGAUCCAAUAGUUUUGAUGUCUUAAUUGGCUACACUCAUCAUUGAUAUAAUUGCAGGGACUCAUCCAAUAUUUGAUGCCAAGCAAACUGAUACCUCUACCGGUAAAAGUUAAGGGGAUUAGGAUGUCGCUGGACAGAAACCUCAAAGUUUACCAGAUUCUAUUUCUGAUUCUAUAGUUGCUGUAGCAGAAGAUAAAUUAUUGUCAGAAGUGAUGAGUGAAAACCUUUUGAUCCGAAAGAUCAAUGGUAGUUGGAUAAAAUGGAUGAUGAAAUGGCGGACGGAUGACUGGAGAGUUCUUUUCUGAUAUUGAGUAAUAAGCCAAAUUAUUUCCUGCUGUUGGUUUUGUGCAAGAAACAAUGACAUACAAGAAUUGAGAUGCGAUAUAGUGUUGAGGUACGUUUGUUUUCUUAAUUUUUUGGCUAUAUAUAAAGAGAGUUUUAUUUAUCAUACCAGAAUGUGAAUUCCUGUAUCUUAUGUUUUUAACAUUGGGUGUUAGCAAUAUACAAUUACAGUAUUUUUAAUUAUUCUACCAGAAAGUGAAAUCCUGUACCUUAAGUUUGUAACAUUACAUUCUGUUACUUACACACUUUGGGGUUUCUUUCUUCAAAUUCACAUGUUUUAUCUGUUAUGUUUGAAGUUCCAUUGACGUUUGACAUUGGAUAUGAACUUGCCCAUGUCGAAUGUGGGCGCUUGGCGCAUACUCCUGCUGAUGUUGGCGCAUACCCCUGCUGAUGUUGGCUGUGGGCUAUGGACGUGCUGGUUGCGUUAUUGCCGUCGUCAGCUAUGGGCACUUUCCCUUGCCCAUGUUGUUGCGCCCUUUUAAUCUAUAUUUGAAGGUCAAAUCAUUCAUAUGUGCUCAGUUAAGAUUGUUUCCUGUGUUGAAUGUUUGAAGAUAAUAUGUUUACCUUAACUAAUAUACCUUUUUGGGGUAAAACAUUCAAGUAGAGGAGUAUAAUUUCUGCGUAAGUUAAAGUUACAAUUAAUAGGACUGAAAGUUAAUUGCAUAAACAAAUACAAAUGACAACAUAGUUAUUUAAAUUGUUCAGUACCAUUUGGCCAUGUAAGAAACAGAAAAUCACAUUUUUUUACACAUGAUGCACCUAAAAACUGUGACUUUGUCGUUCCACUGGCGUUGUUGAAACAUAGUGGAUCCAAUCUUAUGCUCCUGUAAGAUUCAUUGUAAAAAAAGAUUUUUAAUAACAAUGAAUACUGUAAAUAAAAAUUUAAUAAUGUAUGCAAUGAGAUGUUAAAGAUUUUAUUACAUUCUCAUCCAUCCUCUGUUUGUUGGUGUACUGUAUUGUAGAAUUAUGCAGAUAUCUUUUUCAUAUUCUGAUUCAUCCACAUUCAAAUCAAUAAUAGUAUAUAAAUCUCCAAAAGACAGUGUGUAUCAGAUCAAAUUUUAGAAAACUUCUCUAUAAACUACGUUUGUAGCUUUAUUUGUUAUCUGCCCAUCUUCAUCAUAAGCCAAUAUUUUUAAUCCCUUUCUACUUGUCACCUUGGAAAGGGCUACAUACAGUUGUCCAUGUGUAAAUACUGGCUUUUUCAAAAAUAUCUCCACGUGAGAUAAAGACUGUCCUUGACUUUUAUUGAUUGUCAUGGCAAAGGAUACCGUAAUUGGAAAUUGUCUUCUUUGAUACUUAAAUGAAAUUCUAGCAUUAGAUAGUGUUAAAGUCAUUCUUAGAAUAAACACUUUCUAUCCAACCAUCUGUCCAGAUAAAACUUUAGCUUCAAUUACCUGAUUUUCAAGUUUAGUAACAAUCAACCUUGUUCCAUUACAUAAUCCUACUAACUGAUCAAUAUUUCUUAACAACAUCACUGGAACCCCAACCUUUAAAGUGAUAGCAUGAUUUGAAACUCCGAAAUAUUUAAUAGUAUUCAAAAAUUUUGGUGUGUGUAUAUGUUCCAAAAUUGAAUAAGUAUGAUCAGAUUUGCAAAUUUUAUAAAUUCAAAUAUGAUUUUUCAGGAUUAUGAUUGAGUGAAAUCAUAUAUUGAUUAAUUGAUUUCACCAUAUCAAGAGUUGGAGCAAGAAUGGCUCUUUGUUGUAGGUAUCCUAGAAAAUUGCAAUGACUGAUCUAAUCUGGAUACGUAAUAUCCACAAUAGCUGAUAUUGGAUUAAUAGACUCAUUGAUUAGAAGAUCAUUUGGUAUAAGAACUUUUGCAAUUUUGUCAAAUGAACUUCCAAUCCUACCAUCACCAACAUCCAAAAUCCAAUUAGACAAAUCUCUCAACUCAUCAAAAUGUGUACCUGUCUCAUUACUUUGCAAUCUCAUAUUCUUUGUAAGUGUCAAUAGCUGAAAAUGUGGCCAUAAGUAUGAAGAAUUGAGAGUUGCAUUAAUAAUAUCUUGCCUAGUGCCUUUUGGAAUGACAUGUAAUAUUUGUCUGAAGUCUCCUCCAAGAAUGACUAUUUUACCUCCAAAUGGUCUUUGUGAAUUGGAUAAAUCUCUGAAGCCAAGAAUAUCACUUAAUGUUUUAUCAAGAGCUUCAAAACAAUAUCUAUGCAUCAUUGGUGCCUUAUCCUAGAUAAUCAAUUUUGUCUUUACAAUUAAAUUUGCUAAAGGAGUACCUUGCUUGAUAUUACACAUUGAAUUUUCUGUUACAUUUAGUAGAAUUAUAAAUCUUGAAUGAGUUGUUCUUCCACCUGGUAACAAAAGAAAUGAAAUUCUGCUAGAUGCAACUGUUAACACAAUAUCUCCUUUAGAUCUUAAAGUCUUCCAGAUAAAAGUUUUACCUGUUCCACCAAAACUGUAUAAAAAGAAAAAUUCACCCUUGUUUUCAUUCACAGACGUCAUUAUCUUUUUAUACACUGACUGCUGCUCAUCUGUCAAGUUCUCAAUCAAUUGUUGAUGUUCCAAUGCUAAAGCGUGCCUAUUGUAAUACAUUUCAUCGCAGAUUAAUCUGUUGCUGUUGUCAACCUCUUCCUCAUUAUACAAAGGCAUAGGAAUUGUUGGAAAAUCAAGAAAACUUCUUUCACAACCUUUUAAGAAGUUUUUAAUCUUCUGCAAAUAACGAUUUUUCAGAUCAUUAUCAGUCAG